GACGAACGCUGGCGGCGUGCUUAACACAUGCAAGUCGAACGGAAGGGCCCUGCUUUUGUGGGGUGCUCGAGUGGCGAACGGGUGAGUAACACGUGAGUAACCUGCCCUUGACUUUGGGAUAACUUCAGGAAACUGGGGCUAAUACCGGAUAGGAGCUCCUGCUGCAUGGUGGGGGUUGGAACUUUUCGGCGGUUGGGGUUGGACUCGCGGCUUCUCAGCUUGUUGGUGGGGUAGUGGCUUACCAAGGCUUUGACGGGUAGCCGGCCUGAGAGGGUGACCGGGCCCAUGGGGCAGGAGGAGGGGCCAAGGCGGCAGCGGGAGGAAGGGGGGGGAAAUUUAGAAAAAAGGGGGGAGAAGGGAGGGAACAACCACGGGUGGGGGAUGACGGCUUUUGGGUGGGAAACGGAGUUCGCCAGUAACGAAGCGUGAUGACGGUAAAUGGGGAAAAAAGACCGGGUAAACUAGGG
rnacentral:rRNA from 1 species